UCUCAGUGAUCAAAUUCAAGUCUCAACUCUGUAUAUUUGAUCUGUUCUCAGAGUUGUCUCACUUCAAAAACAAGAUCUACAUAUAAACUUCAGUUUCUCUGAUUUGUCACAAAACCGCCCACCAGAUGUAGAAAAACCAAGCAGGAAGACACGCAGAAAUAGUUUUGUUUCGCAUCCUCGAUAUCAAGGAACACUGACUCUUAGGCCAACGGUUCCAUGGAGCAAUGUGUGAUGUGGCGUGUAUCAUGUAGAGGGAUGGUGAAGAGCCCAAGCCUGACCCAGAGGACACCGGUGUCCUGAUGGGAAAAAAUGGAGGUCUUCAGUGGAAUGGGGAGCAUUGUGUUCGCUUUCUUUGGACUCUUGAUUUAUUUGGUCUGAUAUGCACCAAAGCUCUGUAAAACAGUAGCAUCAAAAACUGAACAUUACAACCUUUAUUAGAAUCUUUACUGCAGUACUGACAUAAUAAACUGGGCAAUGAGUUUAUGUUUCAUGCACUGAAAAGAAUUUCGACCAACAUGUAAUAUAUUAAAAAGAAAGCUUGGAAGAACAGGAAUGUUGGUAUCUGUUGUUAAUGCCAGAUGUGAGAUUUUCCUCUAUUUGUUUAGAUGGAAUUUAGGUGUCAUGAUUAAAUAAAUUAUUUAUUUUGGGGGGGGGUUUAACAUUUUCCAGAUUGUAAUUUCCAAUAAAGAUUUUGUGCAUUACUUUCCCUUCACGUUUCAUUUAUAUAAAUAUUUUCUCGUUUCUUAAAUUACUGCCACCAAGCCAUUUAUCAGAUAAGUCAUACUUGAUACCAAAGUUAGACAAUAUUGAGAUCUGAUUCAUGCAAGCCUUAAUUGUCUAUUUAUUGCUCCAUAAGGUCGUUAAGAAGAAAACUCUGAGAAGCCUUUGAGCACAGCAAAAGAACUGCUGCUUUUCUUGUUUCUACUGUUAUUCUCAAACUGGACUUAGAUUGAUUUAUUCUUUUGCUCCUUAUUGCAUGAGAUACAGGUCAGAAUUCAGUAAUCUCCAAAUAAGAAGCUUAUUUAUUUUUGAUGAGACAAAGAAAAGACUAUUGUGAGCAGCAAACUUUUCCUCUGGAUAUUAAGCAAUAAAGUCCAAGACCAAGAGGACAGAGUAAGACGCACUAACUUGAGAUUAGUCGGUCUCCCUAAGAAAACCGAAGGUCCAGACAUGUGCAACUUUUUGGAAAACUGGCUUCUUAAAGUAUUGGGUGAUGCUCUUACCCCCACCCCAGUCAUUGAAAGAGCACAUCAGAUAGGCCAAGUUAGCUUCUUUCCAGAUCUAUCAGCUCAAACCCGCCAGUCUCAGCGACAAUUCAAUGGAAUUAAGGCCCAGUUUUGGACCAUGAAUAUCGCUACGGGCUACUCUACCCAGCUCAUCUGGUAAUCACUCAUGACGGUCAGCAUCUUAUCUUCAAGUCCGUCAGAGGCAGAAGACUACCUCUGAAGGAUAAAAACUACUUCAGAUUGUAUCCUUACUGCAGACUUUUUUUUUUCUCUCCUUACUUCAUCUCUAAGGUAUGUCUGAAAGUCACUAUGGUGAUAGACUGAGGUUAAUGUGAACCUUUUCCCCCCCACUUUUAAUUCACUGUAUGUCGAGCUUACGGUCUGUCUUCAAUUUGUUAGCGAGCCUAUAAAACAACGUGUCAGUACGCAAAUCAUGUUGCUUCUCACAGUGUGGAUCAAACGUUCUAGAAAACCAAAGUUAAUUAGUCUUUGUGGGGGUUUCUGCGCUUUGUUUACAAGCCAAACGUGUAAUUGAAGGAUAUUCAGAGACCUAAUUCUAGUCAGUGGAUUAACUCUUGCAGCCUGGCAUUAGAAAAACUAACGUAUGUAGUAAGAGGUUCAAAGAGGAAGUUGAGGAUUUUUAUAAAACGUGGCCACCUUUAUUACAUUUUAUGAAUGACCUGUGUAAAUGCCUGUGAUUAGACAGAUUGGUGCUACCACCGUCACUCCAAGAUAGCUUGUAAUUUGAACCACAGCAAGCGUAGCAUGGUUGUGAAUAAGGAAAAUAGGAUUUUGACUGGAUUGUAUGCUUCAAUUUUUGUGAAUGUUUGUUCUGUUUAUUCAAGAUGAAAAAAAGAACAUACUGAAAAAACAAAUUGCUUUAAACCUGCAUUAACUGAUUUUUUGGAAACAAGCUGUAAACAAAAUCAACUUACAAAGACCCAAACAAAGGCAAAAUUGUUAGCACACAGUAGCGUAAUUACACAUCCAGCAAAUUCUGAGCAACAUUAGCAUUUAUUCGGAGUCUUUUUUCCUGCAACCUAUCCUCAAAGUACAUCACUUUCUGGUCUGUUCAGGUCUUCGUCAACUCUUGAGGGAAAUAUGUGGCUAAAAUGAUCCACCAUGUGGCCAGCCAGCUAGUUAGCUAGCUAACUUUGUCUGUCGUUUGGUGCUCGGCAGGUAGUGUACAGUGGGCUUAUGAGAGCUUUUUUUUGCUGAUAACAGCUACCUGCUGCAUCUCAAAAUGACUCUGAGAGCAAUCAGCCUGAGCCAUAACACUUAAGUUGCAGAUGUAACACCACAAUAAGUUGAAAGAUGCUAAAAAGCCCCAUAGACUUAAGCCCGUUUCACAAUGCUGCGCGGCAACCUUCCUGCCUACUUGCAAGAGAGUUCCCCCAAAAAGCAAAGCGUUUUUAAAAGUGGCUGCUGCCGCUAUGGUCCACGGCUGCAAUGAAUGGCAGAUGCUUCAGUGAACGUCAUAGUGCAGUACAACCCACCCAAAAGUCCACAACAGGUACACUAGCUUGCAAAUAAAAUCAAAAACCACGCAUUUGUCAUAGUAGUAGCUGUGCAAGCUAGCCUGGCGCCGUGUAAAUAAUUGUUGUUAAAUAUGAGAGGACUUUGAAAGUCCUGUAGUUUACACAAGGCAUAAGUAGCUGCAUACUAUAGCAAGACAAUGGAAAUUACUGAAAUUACCAAAGAUUUCUACUUAUUUUGACAAUUUACCAGUCAUCUGAAGUCUGGUGGAAAUGUUUUCCCAGGCCCAAUUUUUCUUCUGGUUUUCCUUAUAAAUAGCUAGCGCUGUGUUGUACAACUCCAGGUAUUCAGAGGCCAGCAUUAUCAGCUCCUCCAUCGCUCUUCUUUCUGACCUGCGAUGCCCACCCCCUUCUAUUUGAUUGGCCAAAGCCAGGCAGUUACCGCCAGAAGUUCAGCAGGGUGUUUCAAACAGCAGAGCAAAAUUUGUGCACAUUCACGUGGGUGCCAACGGUUUCAUACCCCUACCGCCGUGAUCUGCCGCCUUACCCUCACUGAAAUAACUGGUGGUGUGAAAGCCCCUUUAAGAGGAUUUUUGAAAUUGGGUGCAAUUUUUUUUGGCUUUGUCUCUCCAAGCGACACCUUUGACAUUAAACAUAAGAGUCUUUUGACAUUUCCAUGGUACUGUAUCCAAAACAGGCUAGAAAGAACAUUGAUCACAUUGUCAAGUGGUCAUUUACAGCUAUACUUUGUUUUGUUUUGUUUUUGUUGGGUAUUUUUAAAGAUAAUUUUUUGGGCUUUUGGCCUUUAUUUGAUAGGAAUGGCUAAAGAGAGACAGGAAAUGUGUGAAAGAGAGAGGGGAUGACAUGCAGCAAAGGGCUGCGGGCUGGAUUCCCACCCGUGCCACUGCGGUAAGGACCCACAGCUAUACUUUGUUCUAUUCAUUAUUAGCAAAUAUUAAAUUUCACCCCUUGACAUACAUAAAAACAGCAUAGCAUUGAAGAUGGGAAACAGAGGAAAGCAGCUAGCCUAGCCUCAGUCCAAUGGUAAAAAUAAAUUCACCUACCAGCACCUCUAAAGCUCACUAUAUAACAUGUUGAGAAACAUGUUUAAUACAUAUAAAAACAGCAGGGUAAAAAUUAUAAAUUGCCAUUUUAUGGGGGGUUAUGACUCUUUCUUGGCCGGGCACAAUGACUUCCUCGAGACAUAACCCCCUGUAAAAGAUUCUUUUCACCUUUGGACAGAGCCAGUCUUUAUGCUAAGCCAUCAAACAUGCCAUCAAGGAUUAUGCAAAAAGUACAUUUUAUAAAACAGAAAAUACACCAUACAUUAUUGAAACUUAGGAAUAUUACCCAUUUGGCAGUGCUCUAUGAAUAAAUGCAUUGAGGCGAAAGUAGUGUGACAGUGCUUUAGACUUUAAGAAUAUUAUUAUAAGUGGUGACUGUGGUUUAGUGGUAGAGCGGGUCAUCCACCAAUCGGAAGGUCGGUGGUUCGAUCCCAGUCCACAUGUCGAAGUGUCCUUGGGCAAGACACUGAACCCCAAAUUGCUCCCGUGUGAAUGACUAGUUACUUUGAUGAGCAGUUUUACCAUCAGUGUGUGAAUGUGAUAUGUAGUUGAAGUACUUUGAGUAGUCAGAAAGACUAGAAAGUGUAUAUAUAAGUACAGUCCAUUUACCAUAUUCUUGUCUGUUCUUGAGUAACAAACGUUCACAGGCACAACUGUGUGGAGUAAAGUAGAUAUUCUGGAAACAAAAUGAAUUCCUUCACUAUCAGAAAUUGAUUAUCCAUUUGCUACCUAAUGCAUUGACUUUUUGCCAUUUUAUUUGAGUGUUUGAAUUCUUUAUGUAAAAAAUAUGCACAAUGUAGCUGAGAAAAUUCACACAACAGAACCAUAAUUGUAGCAUCCAAAGUCUAUUUUUUGCUAAAAAUACCACUAUACAAAGCUUUGCUUUUCCUCCUGAGAUGACAGGCAUGUAAAAUUGGUGAAAUAAGUAAGAAUUCUGACAUCAAAAUUCUCUUGUCUAAAUCUGAUCUACUUAUGUGAUAAAAAUUUUUACCUAACAAGUGCAAAAUGGGUGAGAAGUUGCAGAAAGCUUCCCAGUUCCGUGCAACAUUUGUUUGAAACACUACAAGAAUAAAUGUCUCAUAGAAACGCUA